rnacentral:misc_RNA from 1 species
GCGUAAAAAAAAAAAAAGCUACAUCUUUUGCUUAAUACAGAAACCAUAAUUUACAAGAAUGUCCUAUGGAACUCGCUCAUUGGUAAGAAAAAGUAUCUAGAUCAGUGAACAUCAUAACAGUUAACAAUUAAAAACUGUUAGAGCAACUAAUGUAUAAUUUUAAACACUAAAAAAUUUUGUAAGCACACCAACAUGAUGAAGUAAGUGCGUAUAUAUGGCAUAAAUGUAUAAGAAAUGCUAUAUUCAGCCUUCAAAUACAGGCAUUUCAUGUUUCAGUAUAAAGUAUACACCACAGAGCCUAUGGCAAUUCUCAGGCCAAUCAAAGACAAAAAGCAUAUAAAAUUGUCUUGCCAGGCCUACAAACAGCAAAAGAUAAAGGUGCGAAAAUUAUAGAUGUAGCCUCUAAUCAGAAGACCACUCACAAACCCCUAAAAUCAGGGAAUCAAAAUUCUAACAAUUAUUGAUUAUUAUCUCAUAACGAUACACCAAUGUUCUAAACGCCACCUCAACACCUCUGCCUUCUAUAUGUUCAAUUUACUUCUAUGGUCUUAAAUCAUAUGGAAUUUGCACAAUUCUGCAAAGUAGGAGAAACUGCAGAAGCAGAGGAAGAAGGGGAAGUAGAAGUGGUAGUAGCAGUACAAAAACUCCGAAUUCGAAUGCCAUGUUCUUUCCUAUUUUUCAUUACAUGUAC